GUAGGUGGCAAGCGUUGUCCGGAAUUAUUGGGCGUAAAGCGCGCGCAGGCGGUCCUUUAAGUCUGAUGUGAAAGCCCACGGCUCAGCCGUGGAGGGUCAUUGGAAACUGGGGGACUUGAGUACAGAAGAGGAAAGCGGAAUUCCACGUGUAGCGGUGAAAUGCGUAGAGAUGUGGAGGAACACCAGUGGCGAAGGCGGCUCUCUGGUCUGUAACUGACGCUGAGGCGCGAAAGCGUGGGGAGCAAACAGGAUUAGAUACCCUGGUAGUCCACGCCGUAAACGAUGAGUGCUAAGUGUUAGGGGGUUUCCGCCCCCCUUAGUGCUGCAGCUAACGCAUUAAGCACUCCGCCUGGGAGUACGGCCGCAAGGCUG
rnacentral:rRNA from 1 species